rnacentral:rRNA from 1 species
CACCCAAGAGAAAGGAAAACCCCCACCGGAACGCAACAAACCAGAGGGAGAGCGGGGAGCCGCCCGCCCCGGAAGUAGAAAAGGGGAUCGGCCCGGCCGCCCCCACCCCCAGAGCAGGCAGGCAGGCAGGCCACCACGCGCGCGCCCUCCUCCUCUCCAACCCCUCUCCUCCUCCCCGUUCCCUCCCCCUCCCUCGCGCCGCGCGGAAGGCCAAGCGGGAGAAGGAGCCUUGGAGAUUUUCCCGGAACCCCCACCCCCUACCUCCUCCCAUCAAGGUUUCACCACCACCGCCCGUCCGUCCGCCACCAGCCUCCCCCGCAUCGCCGCCCCAACAAUCCCAGUCGAGUCAUCCGCCCACCCCCACCCCCACCGCCGCCGCAGCAGCCGUCCGCCCCCCGCGUCCGCCGCAGAGCCGCCGAUCCCCUCCCGAGAGCCCCCGCCCCGUCGGCUCGUGGAUCUCGGCUGCCGCCGUCGACGGUGCUGGUGGGGAUUUCGGGUCCCGUGUUUAUUGCUCCGAUUCGGGCCCUGAUUCUCCCCGGAUUGCGUUUCCUUUGAUGGGGCCGCCGCCGCCGCUCCGGCUCGGGGUGUGAUUCUGAUUCUGAUUCGGGCGGAAGGUAGAGAUUGUCGUCUUUUUAUUGAGCCCCCCCUGCCUGCCCUGGUUUCUCUGCCGCUAUUGGAUUGAUUUGGGAUCCGCGAUCGAGAUUGCUCCGUGAAGUUUUUGGUCCUAGGGAUAUUUUUUGACUGGCCCGGAUCAGGAAUAGAGGGUUCUCUUGCUGGGGGGAGGGAGAUCUAGGGUUGCGUCUUCUAUAGUUCUCUUUGUGCAUGUGCAUACUCCAUAGAAAAAAACACCAAAAAAAGGAGGGGGUGAGGAGGAGUUGGAGGAGCAGGAGGAGGAGGAUUGGAGCGCAGGGGAGUUUGGAGGUUAUUAUGGCGCUGAAUUAUCCGUCGUGCUCAUUCUUGGUGAGCGACGAGUGCUCUGCCCUGAUGCGAGGGUGUGGAUGCUGGUCGGAGGAGGCCUCGCCCCUCUCGUCCCCAGGGGUCAACUCCAGGCGCUGGGAUGAUUUCGAGCCCGAUCCUGCGGAUCUAUUGCCCGUGGAUCCCUUCGGGAUGAACUUGGGGAACACCAUCACUGCAGCCAUCGCCAGUUGCCUCGACCGCACGGUCAUGUCUGGUGCAGGGCGUUUUGGAAGCAGUGACGGUGGCGCGGCCGACUUGAGUUUUUACCUGAAUCAUGCUAUUGCCGUCUCCCGGGGGCCAUCUUGCCUCCCGGGUGGCUUCGGGCGUGCUUUUGAGGGGCCCUUUGUGUUUGGAGGCCUUUAUGAGGCCGGAGGCGCCAACUGCUCUCAAGGGUUGCCUCCCCUUGUGUCCUGCUCAGGCUCAAUUGUACCUGGAGAGGAUCCAUCUACUUCUGGCAGUGCUGCAUUGUUGUGCCGUGAAGGAGUUGAUGCUGUGGGAGCGUCCUGCUCACGCCCAAUUGUACCUGGAGAGGAUCCAUCUACUUCUGGCAGUGCUGCAUUGUUGUGCCGUGAAGGAGUUGAUGCCGUGGCAGCGUCCUGCUCACGCCCAAUUGUACCUGGAGAGGAUCCAUCUACUUCUGGCAGUGCUGCAUUGGUGUGCUGUGAUGGAGUUGAUGCCGUGGGAGCGUCAUGCUCACGGCCAAUUGUACCCGGAGAGGAUCCAUCUACUUCUGGCAGUGCUGCAUUGGUGUGCUGUGAUGGAGUUGAUGAUGUGGGAAGUGCACCACAUGACGGGAUGAUGUAUGCUCUUGCCUAUCUUGGGCUUCGUGACAUCCUAGCUACAGAGAUGGUGUGCAAGUCUUUGCAUUCGUGGAUCCGCAGCGAGUUAUCGUGGAAAUGUAUCCACAUUGAACCGGUAUUGAGCGGGAAGAUCUCUGAUCCUGAUCUUCUAUUUCUGACACAGAAGAUUCCAGGUGCUUUGCAGUGUCUAAAUAUAAAUGACUGCAUAAAUAUCACCGACAAUGGUUUGAAUGCUGUUCUCCAAAGCAAUCCGACGUUAACAAAGUUGAGUAUUGCGCGCUGCCCGCGGUUAACUUUGGAUGGCCUUAUUGCCAAUCUAAAGUCAUUUAAUAUGAAAGCAGUGUCGGGUAUUAAGAGCCUCAGAAUUGACAAAAACUUCAAUUUACCAAAAGAGGAUUAUGAGGAGUUAUUAUCCUUGUUGAGCAUCGACAAGAGACAGGAGUUGCACAACUGGGCUCCGCGAUUCCGUCAUUCUAAUCAUUUUUUAUUAGAUUGCAAUGACGGAUAUGCUCUUGAUAUUGAGAUGUGCCCCAUCUGUCAAAGUUACAAACUUGUUUUUGACUGCCCUGAAGUGGAGUGCAGUGACAAGAGAUCUGGCAAGUGCCGAGCAUGUGAGGUUUGCAUCAAGAGAUGCCGGCAGUGUGGAAGGUGCUUAGAACGAAAUGAGAAGUUUGAAGAGAAAUUUGAUCUGGUCUACCUUUGCUACAAGUGUCGAGGCGAUCCGGCUUCACCAUCUCUUGGUGUGGAAAAGGAUCUGGUCUCUAUUUUAUCCAGUGGAAGAAUAGCUUCUCCUUGACCAUGGAGGAGCAACAGUACAUGUCCAGCCAUUCAGCCAUCUUUCUUAGCAUUACUGAUGAAGGGAAAAAAAGGAAAAAAAAUAUAGUUUGCUAUUCAUGAUGGUGUGUGGUCGUUUGACAGAUGGUACAUUUGCUUGCAAGAAAAACAAAAAAAGAUGUUACUAAUUCCAGCAGAAAUAAAGGGAUGGUUCCCACUAUUACAGCCUCACCAGCGACCAUGAGGGAUGUUUCUUCAUGGAGUUUGCAGUUCAAGAGUGUAUAGGUAGAGGGUGAGAUUGGUGUCGGUGUGUUUGCUUGAUGCUGCAUCUUCCUGUGAAGAAGACUGAAGAUGAACUUAUUCCUUGGCUUCCAAGUAUAUUAUAUCUGUAUAUGCGUCACAUUGUAAUAGUUUGCCCUGUAUACGUCGUGUCGUAUGACUUGGUAACUUGUUUCAUAGAAAUAAAUAAAUCAAUGACUUCUAACUAUUACUAUCACUAUCUUAAAUUUUGUUGCUACAUAAGCAUCCUUUUUCAUCUGUUGCGUU